ensembl:snRNA U6 U6 spliceosomal RNA
GUGCUUGCUUCAGCAACACGUAUGCUAAAGCUGGAACGCCACAGAAAAGAUUAGCAUGGCCCCUGUGCAGGGAUGACGUACACAUUUGUGGAGGGUUCCAUAUUUAA